rnacentral:siRNA from 1 species
GGCUGAAACAUGUUGGAAA